rnacentral:rRNA from 1 species
GUUUGACGUUAGCUGCAGAAGAAGCACCGGCUAACUCCGUGCCAGCAGCCGCGGUAAUACGGAGGGUGCGAGCGUUAAUCGGAAUUACUGGGCGUAAAGCGCAUGCAGGUGGUUUGUUAAGUCAGAUGUGAAAGACCCGGGGCUCAACCUCGGAAUUGCAUUUGAAACUGGCAGACUAGAGUACUGUAGAGGGGGGUAGGAAUUUCUAGGUGUAGCGGUGAAAUAGCGUAGAGAUCUGAAGGAAUACCGGUGGCGAAGGCGGCCCCCUGGACAGAUACUGACACUCAGAUGCGAAAGCGUGGGGAGCAAACAGGAUUAGAUACCCCUGGUAG